ensembl:lncRNA
GCUGGCCAGCUGUGAGGGUGGGUGGGGCGAUGGCUGACUGGAAGUCUCUCUUGUAGCCUGCAGUUCAUUUUCACAGGGAGCCGAGCAGGGAUCAGGAAAUUCCUGAAUAAGAGGAGAGUCAGAUCUUUCCAAGAGUGACUCUGCAGAAGUCUGAGUCACCACACUCGGCAGCGCUGUACAAUGGGAGCUCAAUACCACAACGUCCACCUCCUCCAGCUCUUCCAGGGAAAACACUGAUGUAACCUCUCCUGCAUGUCUUUGGUCUGCUGCGGGUGCUCCUCCUGGUUGGACACACCUGUAAAACCUCACCUGGGAGGCGUCCAGACAGCAUCCUUUUUAGAUGGCUGAGCCACCUCAACCGGCUCCUUUUGACGUUAAAUGAUUAAAAAAACAAAAAACAAAACGAAAAUCUGGUUGAACAACUCACACCUUAGUUUACUGGCAACAAAUCUCUUUUCCACUGAUGCAGUGCCAGCGGUGAUGCCAGAUCUAAAUCAAUAUUGUCUGAACAUGAUUCUCAGGCCCUUCAGUGGGACUGUAGUAAAGCCAGGCAGAAGUCUGCUGGAAAUCACUGCCCUAAAGGCUCAGGAAGACUCUCAAAAACAAGUGUUACUAAACGAAGUCCACUCAAAAAUUCAAAACAAAGCAUAUAUAAACAACAUCCAGAAACAUUACAGCCUUCUUUGGGUCAUAAAUGUAUGAAGCGUACUGAUCAGUCUAACACUGGUUUCUCAGAUGCGUUCCCAGUCAAAACCUGUUCACAUAUUCUUUUCCUUAUUCCUUUCUGACACCUUUCACCUUUCUUGAAGGUGUCCUCCUACAUACAUGUUUAGAUGACUGCCUCUUCUGCACGCUUGGAAGCAAAACCAAAAUACAAAAAGUGCCAGUGAGAGAAGUACCACUCUGCUGGUAAUAAGGAUUUAUCUGUCACUCAGACAAAUCAGUGUCGUCUGAUGGUCACUCCUAUACAUCCUGCUAUGACUUGGUCUAACCCUCACCCUAAAGAAGACUUAUUGCAAAACUAAGAAAGAGGGUACGGGAUAACAAAGCCCUCAAAAGAAUCAGAGCUGUUGCUCUCAGCAAUUUGCUUGGCAUACAUGGAAACUGUAUGCCAAACAACAUGAGAAAUGUCUAAAUAUCCUCUGCUGAAGAUACUUAAGGAGUAUUUUUAACAUGAAGUGGUGAGACAAACUACCAAAUGUUGAAAUAUUUGCCACCAAGCCUGCAUGCUAUCUUAUCUCGGCACCCAAACUUGCGCCAUAAAAGUAAAAGUAGUAGUAAGAGUCGAGAAAUGUCACCAACUGUAAACAUAGGGCGCAUUUUAAAUAAAACAAAAAAACCCCACAAACUGCUGAGUAGCUGAAAUGUUACGUCUUUCCAUUCUUCAUUGAUACAUUUCUUUCAGAACUACAGCAGCUGAUCUCUUUCAUUCUUCAACGCCUACAGGCUGUUAAAAUAAGAGAUGAUGCAACGCUGCGGUAAACAUGUGUCUGUCCCAGCUAUUUUGAAACCUGUUGUUGGCAUCAAAUUCAAAGAGAACAUUAAAAAAAAAAGAGGCUAAUUUCUAAUCGAAAGACAAAUGUUUUCCAUUUCAGGGUUUCACAUGUUGUCUUCUUAUUGCUUCGCCUAAAUACACCCUUAAAAUGAUUUGACUUCUGUUUUUAUCUCCAUUUUACACAAAGUCUGAACUCUUUUUGGAAAUAGGUAAUUAGUAAUGAGCUGCUGGUGCUUCGUAUUUAACAUUUCCUUUAGGGCAGGGGUGUCAAACCUAAGACCCGGGGGCCAAAAUCAGCCCUGCAAACGCUCUAAUUCGGCCCAUGGGGCAAAUGUGAAAAUAUGAAAUAGGACAUUAGACUCGUGCCGAUUGAUUUUUUUCAUUUAUUACAGCAGCGCUUCUUUAUAAUGUAGAAAAUCUGAGACGCACUGUUGAAAUUGCUCUUCUUUAACUUAUAUUAAGAUAUUUCAGGAGUUUAAUGUGCAGUCAAACUUCUUUAGAUGUAAAAUGAGUUCAAUAUCCCUGCUUUAAGGGGAAAAAAGGACAAGGAUUUAUGACCUCUGACUGUAAGCUUUGUGUAACUGGGGCCCUUUAUCACAAAACAGUUACCACUUCCACCCCAGAGAUACUUCCCCUCUAUUUCCCCCAGUAGCUAUUUAAACAAAAACCACAUGAGAAGAUCAAACAGGUAUGCAACAAAUACAAGGAUGUAAUGUUUUAAGGCAGCAAAGAUGUGAGAAAAAAGACUGGAUAUAGCAGAACUUUGCAUUUCUUCUCAUCUCAUCAUCUGAUGAGUCCUCGAGGUUAACUUGUGACCUCUUGAAGUCACCCUGACGCUGAGGUUGGAAAAACCCUGGAUUACACCCCUGCAGCUCUCCCUCAAGCAGCUGCACAGCUUACACGCUAACAUGUCAAAUUGUGUUUUUAUGUGUUAGUUGCAGGGGGUAAUUUUUCUGCAAACCAAGCACAAACGUUGUUUUUAAGUUAAAUGGAAAAGCUCUGUUUUUGCUGCUUCUCUGACAGGCUGAUGCCUUUGGUUGUUUCUGUUGAGACAUUCAGCCGUGAGCAGUUCCUGUUCCUGUUCCUGCCACCCCCCCACCCCCCCGGCUGCUGUUGCUGGGACCAACCGACACUCUCACUGAUGUGACAUAUACUAAUCAACUAUAAUAGGGUAAAAAAACAUGCAUGUAGGUCAUAGCGUAAAUAAGAGGUUCGAGCCGGUGCUUCCCCGCUUAUAAGCUCCACAUCCUUCCUCUUGCUGAACGCAGCAAGGAGCGAUGACUUUGACGUCGACACAUGGUCGACAUGUAAACAAAGCUGGCUGACCUGCCUCACCACAGAUGUCAUCACUGUGUUCCUUUGGGUUUGUUGUUGAUAUUGUCUUCAUAGAAACGGUGGAAAGGAACAAAAAAAAAAAAGAAAAAAGAUGCCAAAGUGUUGCGUGUGGUGUUGUGUACCGCUGAGUCUGUGCUACCAAAAGCUGUUGUUACAAAUGAGGUGAAAGGUAAGGGUACGUGAACGUGAGGAUGGCCACAUAGUCGUGUGGGAGACCAAUUGGAGGAGCUGUGAUGCAAUGAGGAGUUUACGGUCAGACACUGCCCAUUGACGGUAAAAUGCGGACACGGAGGGCCGGGCUAAACACUGAAGCACAGAGGUCAUCCUGUGUGGGAAUUUCCCUGUUGCCUGUCAGCAUGUGAGCCAGAAGCAGGGAAAGACUGAGUGGGGCUCCAGCAGAAAACGAAGGGGUCAUCGAAGAAAGUAUGCUGAGAAUGUUUGAGAGAGUCUGUGCCAGCGCUUGCAGAGAGGACGAGAGCAACGGGAGCAAAGAGCCCUGCUGACAAACAAUGGAGAGCUUCUCUGAAACAUUGCUUUGUUUCUCUGAUUGGCCUUGGGGAUUAAAGCCAAGCCACAACCACUUAAAGCCAUUGUCGUGAACAUAGAGUACAACAAUGUCUUAUUUAAAUGUGGGUGUAGCAUUCUUCGUGGGGUGAUGUGCUGGAAAGGGAGGAUAUUGCACAACAGUUAAAAGCUAAACUGUUCAUCAUGGAGUGUGUUGAAAUAUCCUAAAUGUCAUCUCUCACUGCACACAAACAGCAUCACAUAGUUUUUAUGCUUCAUUAAGAGGAGAUAAAGUGAGUUUUUCCCCUCGUUUUUCUCUUCAGUGUCAGUGUAGUACAUGUGUCACUUCUUAAAAAAGAAAAAAAAAACUAACAGAGGC